ACUCUGUGAAUGGAGUCUGAGGGUGGUUUGUAAUGCUGGGCUGACACCUGUGGUGGUUCAGGAGUGGUGAGGCCAGGCUGCUGUAGGGUUCCUGUGGGCAACUGCCUGCCCUGGAGAGGUGGGUGCUGGCUGCAUGGAAAAGCUACAGUAGGAAUAGUAGAACAUGGAUCGUAAGACCUGCUCUAUUCUAGCUCCCCAUGUUCAUGCAGAGAGACAGAAAAUCGAAAUUGAGCCUCCUCCUUCACAAAGAAAAAGCGGUUCUCAAUGGUAUCCCUAUUUAUUUAUUUUUCCCCUCAGAGUAUCUGGUGCAGUUGGUCCCCAGAAACUUCUCGAGGGUAAUUAAAGUGAGUCAGACUGUGGGAGCAUUUGUUGUGCUGAAUCUUAUAUUUCUCUUUCUACCCAGCUGAGUCAGAACAGCUGCUUAGCAAAAGAUCUGAAGAGGUUUUGGAAGCAGUUAGAAAAAGAAGCAGGAAAGCCUGAGGCAAGAAAAUGUGCCUUUAUUCUGAAGACCCUCAAAAUGCCUUCAGAGUACUACUUGUUUGUGGAAGCAUUUUGCAAGAACCCUGGCAUCACUUGGGUUAUGAAGCUGCAGGUCUGGCGAGGAGGCUGGGACAGGAGGAUUUGUCUUACCCUUGUGAGAAGUGACUGGGAGGUUGGCAAGUCACAAGGUGAGGAAAUGUUCCUGAAAGCUGAAGGAUGUAAUUGAUUGAAGAAGGUUGGAAGUUUGACAUGAGACUUUAUGUUCCAGCAACAGCCGUAAGUGCAAACCACCAUUGUUAUGCCAGAAAUGGAUUUCCUUCACUUAAUGCCCAGUUGCUCUUUUCCUCUUCUCCCAGUACACUCCUCUGAAGGCCUGGUUAUGCUGAGGUGGAUUUGCUUGCUUUUCUGAUGCAGGAUUUACUCAGAACAGCAGAGGUGAUCGCUGUAUCCCGCCUGUGCCAUACAGAAGGGUAAGAAAAGGACUGUACAGUUUUACUGCCUGGUAUUAGAUACAUCAGAUGAACUUUGUCACUUCCAGCUCCUGCAAACACCUACAGGACUCGGCUGUCCCAUCGCUGCUGUUGUCACCCUGUCUUUCUCCAGUCCUUUUUCACUGGAAAACUGGUGUCACCAGAUCACUGGAAAUGUCAGUUUGACAAAUCAGCUCGGAAAAAAGCUGAAAUGUCACUCCUGGUUUUAUUGUUAGUGGUUGAAUUUUGGCAGCCUUUCUUCUUCCUCGGGUUCACAGAACGUAAGGACAAGGUGAUUCACGGGGGAGAACUAUUUGAUUUCCAGUGUGUCACACUUGCUGCUGUAUUGAGUUUGAUAGCUUUCAUUUGAUUAACACAUCUUCCCAAAAGGUAUGCCGCCUCAAUUUGAUGGCUUAGGAGACAGGAAAAUCCAUCACUUCUCUCUGAGAA